GCUGGAGUGGCAGAGUGGCAAUGCGCUGGUCUCGAAAACCAGUGCCCUUCGGGGCUUGUGGGUUCGAAUCCCACCUCCAGCG
rnacentral:tRNA from 1 species